UUGAGCCCAUUGUUCCAGCCACUGUGUCGAUCCAUCUCUUGGAGGGUUCUCCUCUUGUUUUUGUAGGAAUCUGAAGAACUCGGUACUGCAGCAGAUUCUCGGCUCGGAAAAGGUGCAGAGAGAGAGCAGUUUCUAUCAUUUCACCUGCCCUUAAUCUAUUUCAACCACAGAACUGGUCCACGUGGGCCAGUCAAUGUUCUGUGCGCCACCUUGAUGAGAAAUCAGUGUGAGGCUGAAGGAGGAAGAGAAACGGGCUGCAAGAUUUGGAAAGGGUAAUGGAAGCACACAUUUCGACUUCUUUUCCAUAAGAAUUGUCCUCUCUUGGCUACUUUGCUUAGUCUGAGAAAAUAAAAGUUUUCCUUCUGAAA